rnacentral:tRNA from 1 species
GGCGAAAUAAUUUAAUUUUAAAAAUUUUAUCUUGCAAAGGUAACCUUGUUUUUUAACUUUCGCUU